rnacentral:lncRNA from 10 species
AGAUUGGGCCCCAGACACACAUGCACAGAAGAAAGACCAUGUGAAGACAGAGGGAGAAGUCAGAGAUCUACAAACCAAGGAAACAUCCUCAGAAUGAAACCAACCUUGCCAAUCCCUGAUCCUAGACCUCCAGCCUCCACAACGGCCUUUGGACUCAGAUGGAAUUAUACCACGGGGUUUCCUGGAUCUCCAGCAUGCAGAUGGUAGAUUGUGGAACUUCUCAGCCUCCAAAAUCGAGUGAGCCAAUUCCCAUCAUAAAUCCCC